GAGAGAGAGAGAAAGAGAGAGAGAGACUGACUUUGAUUUGAGAAAGACACAUUGAUUGGUUGCCCCCACGCGUACCUGGACCGGGGCUGGGGAUAGAAACUGCAACCGAGGCAUGUGUCCUGGACUGGAAAUUGAACCUUUGGUGUACUGACAGACACCCUAACUACUGAACUACACCAGCCAGGGCAUACUUGCUGUAGGUUUUAAUUUUUUUCUAUGAUAAUUAAUGUAGAGAAAAUAGGGCUAUAAGAGGAAAACAAUUAUUUUCCAAACAGGCUUCUGGAAAAAUAAAUCACUCUACUGUUUUUCAGGAAAAAACUUCAAUAAAUAUGCAGUUUGCCUUUAAUUUUAGGUUUUAGAAUGAAACAAGUUUGAUAGAGAAUUGACUUGUUUCCCCACUGAAACCUAGUUUAAUUUUGUCAUCGUGAUUUGAUAUGUUAUGCAAGCUAGAAGCAAAACAGAGAGGAGUGUUUUGACUGAGUAAUGAUCAUGAUCUGUGUUUAUAAAAAGGGGAGAUCUGUCCAGGUAAAAUUAUCAACAAUAAUGGCUUAUAUUUGUAUUGUGGAGUCAUCCAAGUAGAAGACAGAUGAGCCUAGAAUACUAACGUUUCUCCUCAGAUGAGGAAGAAUAGAUUUCAAAGGAGUCUUUCUCUGGCAGUUCUAAUUUGAUUUUUGCGUACUUUUCCUCAGAAGAAAUGUUUUGUUCCAACCA